CCACUCUCUUGGGCAAACGCCAGCUCCCUCGUCCUGAAAGCGAGAUGAGCACCACAACCCCAGAGUUGCCUUCGACUGGACUUAACUGUCCAGGGGUCCUUUACCUUUAGUGAGCUAGAAGCAGGUGGCAGGUGGAAGUCUGUGCUGGAAUCCAAGGCUAUGGUUGUCAGACCUUGUGGUGUUGACUCUGAGCCCCUCCAUCGUAGGCUCAGAUUGUGUGUGUGUGUGUGUGUGUGUGUGUGUGUGUGAAUAAGCCAUAUAUCCUACAGACACAGCAGUCUCCACUGUCCCUCAUUCUGAGGAAAACAAACCCUGGGUUAAGUGCCUGGAAUCCCCGGAGCUCUCAAACCUGGGAGUGAUGCUGAGAACCAGUAUAGAACUACAUGGGCUAAUGAUUCAACUUGAUAUAAGGCAGUGCCCUAUGUUCUUACAGAUAAGAUGGUGUUGGAAAUACCAAUGCUAUUUUGUUCAAAUGAGCUUAAGAAACGAUCAUACUGAGUCAUCGGCCCACCUAGUUCGGUGUUGUAUAUUUUAAAAUUAGCUGGCAACAGCUCUUCCAAGGUCUUAUGUCAGGUGCCUUUCCUUCCUUUGCUUCUUAAAAUGUGAUGCGGGUGCCUUGGUGUCAAGACACACUGCCAUAUUAUAAGGUUAACAAACGUCCCUGUUUCCAGGGGAAAGUCCCCAGAUUUACAAAUCAGUCCCCUGACAAAAUCCGUCUCCAUCAGCCAAAGUUGAAAAGUGUUCCCGGAUUCAUUGAAAAGAAUCCGGUAACCUUACCAUAUUAGGCAAAUUAUAAACCUAGCAGGUCCCAAGGGAGCUUUCAUAACCAUAGCUGUCAACUUACAGAUUUGAAAAUAAGAGACCAGCAGCCUCGAAAAUAAGGGAUCAGCAGCCAAAAUAUGGGAUUUCCUCCCCCCUCCCCGCCAUGUGCCCACGCUCCAGAGAGACCUUUUCCCCGGCAAGGGUGAAUGGGCCGUUGAUGACAUAUCCAUCCGAUUCCGAGCACAGGUAUGUUCAACUUCUGAGCCCCUCCAAGCCAAAGGCAGAAAGCCCAGCCAGCAGCCAAACGAAGCCUCAAGCGGUGGUUCCCACAGUGCAGCAACCCGGCAAAGGGGAUGCAGCAAGGAAAACCACCGUCACCUCUCCGCUGGGAAGCGCUGAGCAAAGGCGAGUCUCCAGGCAACGCGGCCGAUUUGAUCGGCACAAGGCAUGCAAGCUCCACCCCCCAUUCGUUCUUAGACUCCUUAUUGGGUGAGCAAUGCAGCCAAGCAACACAGUUGGAGCCUCCCUCCUCCCUGGCCGGCAGGGAGGGAGGAAGAGGAGCUGAUUCCUUUGAAACCUGGGAAAUUUACAGGAUAUCAUCAAUCCAGGACAGCAGUGGGACACGGUGCUGGGAUAAGAGAGUUUCCCACCAAAUAAGGGACGGUUGACAGCUAUGUUCAUAACAUCUAACAACACUGGCACAACAUCAUGUUAGCCCAGUAUAUCUGUUAAUAUCCUAUUCUAAGCUCUCGGAAUAAGUGAUAGAAUCACACAUUGGAGUAUUAGACAAUGCUGGAAACUCUGAAAAUGCACAGUUCAGCAGAUUAACAUUUGGUUUAGGCAAAGUGAAAGAAAUGGCAGAUACAAGAGGCAUAUUUAUGCAAGCUGAGUACCAUGUUGCGGCAAGAGUAAUUUCUAGCCAUUUUAAAACAAGGUUUGGCACAGUAGAUGGCACUAUAGUGCAAGAAUUGCAAGUACUUUUUAAAAUUCUGCAAAAGCAUCUAGCAUCCAUUCCUGAAGGUAUUUUAUUUAUCCAUCUAAUUUUAAUGCAAGUAUGUACCGUAAUGCUCAUAUGGGGACUGCCAAUAAUGUAGUAUCCCAACUGUUGCUUUAUAGUUCCUCUUGAGGAUAUUAUCUAUAAAUGGGAUAGUGUAAAGUCACUUACAAAAUACAAAAAUCAAGUGGGAAAUGGGCAUUUGUCUCUUCCAUCUUGUAGGAUCGAGAAGGUUUUCUUCCGAAAGAAUAUAAUUUCUGCCUACAACGAGUGGUCAAAAAGAUGUUGCAUAAACCUGUCAGGUGCGUGUGUACCUAUAAUGAUCCCAAGUGUUGACUGGCAACACAGCUUAUGAAUUGUGUGGCUCACCCUAAAGAGUUCAUAAAUAGCUUAGUUCUCAGGCAGUCUCCAGGGCUGGGUACCCUUGCAUCAACCGUACCAAUUGCAACAUUUGACCCCAGCUCUAAAUGGCAAUGAAUAAGUAUCAUCAAUAUUUUAAAUAAGCACAUGGCAAUCUUUUUAAAAUGUAAAGGACCAUACUUGUGCUAUGAGACUUUUUAUGGCAAUGGUUCCAGAAAAAAACAGGACACACGGUAUUUAUGCCUCUUCUGAUUCAGUGCCUUCAAUUUUAUUCAUUCUUGGUGUCCUGUAAUUUAACAAAUCGCCCCUUGUGGAUUUGACUCAGCAGCGGGUUUAUUUUCGAGUACUUGGGGAUGUUGAUAAUAAGAUAAUGUCAUCGCCACACCACCACUAGGUCACACUGUAAAAAUACACCUCUUUGGCAUAGCAUUUCCCUAAGAGUCAAAAUGACAGGGGAGAGAAUGACAGGGGAGAGAUACCAUUUUGAAGGGAAGAACUCUAAUGCUAACCUCCCAGAAAUGAAUCCCAUAAUAAGAGUGAGAGCAGGGCUAAAUUCCAUACAAAGUAUGAGUCAUCCUUGCUUGUAGCUGGACUGGAAAUUUAUCUAAAUUGCUUCCCAUACUGAUCUUGAUAGUCUGUGUUCUGGCCUCUGGUAAAAGUGUUCCACUGUGAAAUAACUGCAAUGUACUUGGUGCAAUAGAAAUGGGUUAUAUGACAGUCAAGUGCUGAGCUACUUUCCUUUAAGUCAGUAAUAGAUAUUUUGGGCAAUAGAAUUUUGCAUGGGAAAUAGUAAUUCCUUUCUUAUUAAGGAAUGAAUUUAUUGCAUUUAUAUCUCAUCGGUUGCCCCACAAGAAGCCGUAGAAAUAACGUUUUCCAAAAAUAAUUCUGGUGGGUAUGUGUUAUCCUGCACUUUGAUCAAACACUGGUGGAAUCUACACACAUAUUUUUUUAAAAAAACAUUGCGAAAAUGCUUUUUUUAAAAAAAUGUUUUGAAAACUAUUGAAUUUGCCAUAGCUCACCAUAGCCAUCUAGUGUCAGAUUUGUAGAAUGCACUUUACAAUACACAUAACAUUUUAUUUGCAGCUGUAUAACUGUGUCCCCAGUCUUGAAAUUAUCAAUCAUUGGCUGUCUUAUUUUCUAAAGAAUACCCAGGAAGGGGUGGUGGGGUAACAACAUCGUACUGUAGCAUAGAACAAUGAGCAUAAUUGGAUGUGUUAGAAUCCCACAUACUUUGAGUGAGUUAAAUAUAAGAGUGGUAUUAUAAUAAAAAGAGUUUUAAAAUAUUCACUGCUUUUUUGAAACAUACACACAAAACCUGCCAUAGAAUUCAUUAAGGGGAUAUGUGUGUGUGUGUGUUUUCAUAUCAUGACUGUUUAGCCAUGGACCAAAUACCCUCUGGGUGGAAAAUGAGUAUCAUAUUCCUGAUUUAUAAGAAAGGGGAUAAGAAUGCUCUACAAAACCAUAGGCCAAUUAGCUUGUUAGACAUCUCAAAGCUAUACACAUGGUAUCCCUUUCAAAAAUUAUCAGACUGGUUGCGAAGUACAGUGGUACCUCGGGUUACAUAUGCUUCAGGUUACAUACACUUCAGGUUACAGACUCUGCUAACCCAGAAAUAGUGCUUCAGGUUAAGAACUUUGCUUCAGGGUGAGAACAGAAAUUGUGCUCCAGCGGCGCGGCACCAGCAGGAGGCCCCAUUAGCUAAAGUGGUGCUUCAGGUUAAGAACAGUUUCAGGUUAAGAACGGACCUCUGGAACGAAUUAAGUACUUAACCCGAGGUACCACUGUAACAACAAGUGGGGUUCAGAGGAUGACACAGUACCAUUGAUCAGUGUUUUGCUCUGAACCAUAGUAUAAGAAAAUAUACUAAGAACAUUCAGAACAAUCUUUAUGCUGCGUUAAAAUAUAGACCGUGGGGGGAAAUUCAAAUUGCCAACAUCAACUGCAGACUUAUGAGGGUCAGAGUAGGUUUAAAUGGUGGUAUGACUGACACUUUUAAAAUGUUGCUAGGAGUAAAGCAAGUUUGCAUUCCGGCUCCCACUCUUUUUAACCUUUCUAUUAAUGACUUGGUGCCAUAUUUAGCCAACACAAGCUCCUCCACUCCAGUAAUAAGGAACAGGAAAAUCUAAGUCUUGAUGGAUGCAGAUGAUUUAGUGCUCCUCUCUCUUUCCCAAUUGGGCCUCAAAAACCUCUUGGAGGUUUUCAGCACAUACUGUAAACAGGAAAGCCUAUCUAUAAAUUACUCUAAAAUGAAGAUUGUAAUUUGUGGCAGACACAGUCCUAGGUAUAAAUGGUGCUUGGAUCAGCAGGCUAUUAAACAAAUUUGCUUAUUUAGAUACCUGGGUAUCCUCUUUCAUGAAGCCAUCUUUUGGAAGUAUCAUAGAAUCAUAGCCUCAUAGAAUUGAAGAUAUGGAGACAGUGGAAGUCAAAGCACAGAAAACCAAGGGGACAUUGAUGAAGUUCUAUGACAAUAAGAAAGGGAAGUUGAUUGAACCUGCCCCAAAUAUAUUUGGUAGCAAAGUGCUUACUAAAAUGCUCUAUAUGGUGUUGAAAUCUGAGGCUUUGAUUCGAACUUCAUUCAAGUUUUGGAAACUGCAGAAUAUUUUGUUUCAGAAGCUGUACUCUCUACAAUCAGGAAUAUCAGCAGCUGUUCUUUGUACUGAAUCCAGGUGGCUGACAAUUAAGACAAGAGCAGACUGCGUGAUUCAAAUGGAUAUGACCCUCUUGCACAACAAAUUCAACGUCCUCCCCACCCCCACCAAGAAAAAGAAAUUGAUUUCCCCCCAGAAAGGAAAGUAAUGAGUUAACAAUUCCUU